AUUGAACGCUGGCGGCAUGCUUUACACAUGCAAGUCGAACGGCAGCACGAAAGAGCUUGCUCUUUUAGUGGCGAGUGGCGAACGAGUGAGUAAUGCAUCGGAACGUACCGAGUAAUGGGGGAUAACUAUCCGAAAGGAUAGCUAAUACCGCAUACGCUUUGAGAAGGAAAGUGGGGGCUCUUCGGACCUCACGUUAUUCGAGCGGCCGAUGUCUGAUUAGCUAGUUGGUGGGGUAAAGGCCUACCAAGGCGACGAUCAGUAGCGGGUCUGAGAGGAUGAUCCGCCACACUGGGACUGAGACACGGCCCAGACUCCUACGGGAGGCAGCAGUGGGGAAUUUUGGACAAUGGGCGCAAGCCUGAUCCAGCCAUGCCGCGUGUCUGAAGAAGGCCUUCGGGUUGUAAAGGACUUUUGUUAGGGAAGAAAAGGAUAGUGUUAAU
rnacentral:rRNA from 1 species